AGGUAUGUGUUACAACUACACUUGAAACCUACAAGUGACUAACAAUACACUGACUUAGCUCACACUAAGAUUCACUCUCUUAGUCUUCUCUAGGAUCCGAUCAACCUUGAUCUCCUAAAGGAAAACUAUACAAUGUAUAUGAAGUUCUUGUUUACAAAGAAAGUGCUUCUAAAAAGCUUAUAGUAAACACAAUGAAAUUCAAGAUGAAAGAAAGCUUAGAAGGAUUUGAAUAUUUCUUGCGCGUGUGUAAAAUGCUUCUAGCCGCUUCUUUCAACCUUCAGCCUCUAUUUAUACUCCAAGGAUUAGGGUUGAACGUUGCAUGGAAAUGCUACCGUUGGAGGGCAGUUCUGGAAAUUCCAGCUUCUGCUGUGGCUGAGGAUGUUAGGUAGGUCGUCAGGAUAGUACACUUUGCUUUUGUACUUUGGAUAGUGACUUGACCUUAACCUUGUAGACUUCUGAUCAGAGGAGCGCUUCGUGUUGGAACUUGUGAAGCUGAUUGAUCAGAGUCAGAGGGAAGCUUGGAUCCUCUAACCGUUGUACUUUCUGAUCUUCACUUCAGAGGAUCAAUACAUGGUCUUCAGAGCCAGUUGCUUCUGGACUUCAGAGUCUUCACUCUUCAGAGUCUGGAUCGUCAGAGUCUUCUUCACCAUCAGAGCUUCUGAGCCUGCAGAGUCUCUUGGUUGUCAGAUCUUCUGGAUCAUCAGAUCUUCAAGUGAGCUGAGUCCUUAUCAGAG
rnacentral:lncRNA from 1 species